CUCCUGAUCCUCCUACCUCUACCUCCUGAAUGCUAGGAUUAUAGGUAUGGGCCAUUGUACCCAGUUAAUGUGAUGCUAAAGAUGGAACCCAGGGCCUUGCAUAUGCCAACCAAGUGUCCUACCACUGAGCCCUAUCUCCGGUUGUUUGUUUACAUUCAUUUAUUGUGUGUGUGUGUGUGUGUGUGUGUGUGUGUGUGUGUGUGUGUGUGUGUAAGUGGAAGUUGGGUCUGUCCUACCAUGCAAGUUCUGGGGCUCAAAGUCAGGUCACCAGGCUUGAGAGCAAGCACCUUCACCCACUAAGCCACCUCACCAGCUUCCCAAAUGCCAAGGGGACAAGUACACAUAUCCUGGAUGGACUCUGCUUUAGUGUGAUAAUUUAUCUACGUGCACUGGACAAGUCGCUGCUUAGAGGGAUACAUUACUGCUAAAAUGGAUGUGUAAAGAAUGCUCUCUGCAGGGAGCCUGCCACCUUACAAGGCCACUCAGAGGUCUCAGGGAAGGAGGGAUGCCCACACCCCUUCACUGUACAACUACCAGCAUGGACGUGUGUUCGUCAUCUGAGCUCUGACUCCAGAAGAAAGAGAGGGCAGAAGGAAGGACAGGAAGGCCAAAGGAAGGGAGAAGGUUAAAUUUGGAAGCCAGGUCAAGCCGGACCUGAAGCGGUCUCUUCUGAGUGUGGUGCUCCAGGCUGGAGCAGGCCUCUCCCUGGGUGGGAAGAUCAAUGGACACUCUGCCUCUGUGUGACAGGCACCUGGAGACUUUGGGAAUGACCAUGCCACCACGUUCUGUGUGUCACUUUUAAGACAAAGAAGGAGCACUUAUUAGAAGCCACCUACUUCUCAGGGUUGAAUGGUGCUCAGGGGAGCCAGGCAAGGGGCACGUGGGCUUGAAGGACAGGAGGGCUGCUGCGGGCCCCCUGUGUGGCCUGUGGGUCCCACCCUCCAGUCUAUAGCUGGUCUGUGUCCUAGAGCUGAGCUCCUCGCAGAAACUGAGGCAUGGAUCCAGCAGGGAGGAGCAGGCCGCUGGCCACCACAGGGUGACCAGGCACGGAGCUUGCCACCCUGGGUGCUGGUUUGCCCAGCUGGUUGGCUGGCAAGAACUGAGCCAUGUAAUUCUCACUUCCUCCACCUCCUCACAUUCCUCAGCAUUCCACCAACACGCUGGCUCUCGCAGGUGGCCCCGGCCAGGAGGGUGGCACCUUUAUUUAGAGGCCUGCCAUUCAGAGCCCCGAGCACCCACUCACCCCCAGCCUGAAGCGCUGCUGCUUCCCUCCCACUUUCUCUUUUUCAAACAGGCUCUUCUUUAUGUCUUAGUCCUGGCCAAACCCUGUGGAGAGCGUGUCAUCGGGUGGGCUGCUUGGGUACAGGGCAGAGCCACAGGGACACAGAGUACCGGGAAACAAGAGCCAGGGCCUGCAACUCCACAGGCCAUGGAGGGAUGGCUCAGGCUGAGCCUGGCUGUGUCUGCCUUUCUGUUCCCAUGUCCUUUCUGAGGAAAGCCAUCCGCUCAGGUCUCAUCUAAGAGCCUGUAGGUCUGAGCGUCACUUAUAAGGAAGAACAAUUGUUUUUUAAUAAAGAAAGUUAUGAGAGA